rnacentral:rRNA from 1 species
GGUUAAGCGACUAAGCGUACACGGUGGAUGCCCUGGCAGUCAGAGGCGAUGAAGGACGUGCUAAUCUGCGAAAAGCGUCGGUAAGGUGAUAUGAACCGUUAUAACCGGCGAUGUCCGAAUGGGGAAACCCAGUGCAAUUCGUUGCACUAUCGUUAACUGAAUACAUAGGUUAACGAGGCGAACCGGGGGAACUGAAACAUCUAAGUACCCCGAGGAAAAGAAAUCAACCGAGAUUCCCCCAGUAGCGGCGAGCGAACGGGGAGCAGCCCAGAGUCUGAAUCAGCUUGUGUGUUAGUGGAACGGUCUGGAAAGUCCGACGGUACAGGGUGAUAGUCCCGUACACCAAAAUGCACAGGCUGUGAACUCGAAGAGUAGGGCGGGACACGUGGUAUCCUGUCUGAAUAUGGGGGGACCAUCCUCCAAGGCUAAAUACUCCUGACUGACCGAUAGUGAACCAGUACCGUGAGGGAAAGGCGAAAAGAACCCCGGCGAGGGGAGUGAAAAAGAACCUGAAACCGUGUACGUACAAGCAGUGGGAGCACCUUCGGGUGUGACUGCGUACCUUUUGUAUAAUGGGUCAGCGACUUAUAUUCUGUAGCAAGGUUAACCGUAUAGGGGAGCCGCAGGGAAACCGAGUCUUAACUGGGCGUUAAGUUGCAGGGUAUAGACCCGAAACCCGGUGAUCUAGCCAUGGGCAGGUUGAAGGUUGGGUAACACUAACUGGAGGACCGAACCGACUAAUGUUGAAAAAUUAGCGGAUGACUUGUGGCUGGGGGUGAAAGGCCAAUCAAACCGGGAGAUAGCUGGUUCUCCCCGAAAGCUAUUUAGGUAGCGCCUCGUGAACUCAUCUUCGGGGGUAGAGCACUGUUUCGGCUAGGGGGUCAUCCCGACUUACCAACCCGAUGCAAACUACGAAUACCGAAGAAUGUUAUCACGGGAGACACACGGCGGGUGCUAACGUCCGUCGUGAAGAGGGAAACAACCCAGACCGCCAGCUAAGGUCCCAAAGUCAUGGUUAAGUGGGAAACGAUGUGGGAAGGCACAGACAGCCAGGAUGUUGGCUUAGAAGCAGCCAUCAUUUAAAGAAAGCGUAAUAGCUCACUGGUCGAGUCGGCCUGCGCGGAAGAUGUAACGGGGCUAAACCAUGCACCGAAGCUGCGGCAGCGACACUAUGUGUUGUUGGGUAGGGGAGCGUUCUGUAAGCCUGCGAAGGUGACCUGUGAGGGUUGCUGGAGGUAUCAGAAGUGCGAAUGCUGACAUAAGUAACGAUAAAGCGGGUGAAAAGCCCGCUCGCCGGAAGACCAAGGGUUCCUGUCCAACGUUAAUCGGGGCAGGGUGAGUCGACCCCUAAGGCGAGGCCGAAAGGCGUAGUCGAUGGGAAACAGGUUAAUAUUCCUGUACUUGGUGUUACUGCGAAGGGGGGACGGAGAAGGCUAUGUUAGCCGGGCGACGGUUGUCCCGGUUUAAGCAUGUAGGCUGAUUGUCCAGGCAAAUCCGGAUAAUCAAGGCUGAGGUGUGAUGACGAGGCACUACGGUGCUGAAGUAACAAAUGCCCUGCUUCCAGGAAAAGCCUCUAAGCAUCAGGUAACAUUAAAUCGUACCCCAAACCGACACAGGUGGUCAGGUAGAGAAUACCAAGGCGCUUGAGAGAACUCGGGUGAAGGAACUAGGCAAAAUGGUGCCGUAACUUCGGGAGAAGGCACGCUGGUGUGUAGGUGAAGUCCCUGCGGAUGGAGCUGAGACCAGUCGAAGAUACCAGCUGGCUGCAACUGUUUAUUAAAAACACAGCACUGUGCAAACACGAAAGUGGACGUAUACGGUGUGACGCCUGCCCGGUGCCGGAAGGUUAAUUGAUGGGGUUAUCCGUAAGGAGAAGCUCUUGAUCGAAGCCCCGGUAAACGGCGGCCGUAACUAUAACGGUCCUAAGGUAGCGAAAUUCCUUGUCGGGUAAGUUCCGACCUGCACGAAUGGCGUAAUGAUGGCCAGGCUGUCUCCACCCGAGACUCAGUGAAAUUGAACUCGCUGUGAAGAUGCAGUGUACCCGCGGCAAGACGGAAAGACCCCGUGAACCUUUACUAUAGCUUGACACUGAACAUUGAGCCUUGAUGUGUAGGAUAGGUGGGAGGCUUUGAAGCGUGGACGCCAGUCUGCGUGGAGCCAACCUUGAAAUACCACCCUUUAAUGUUUGAUGUUCUAACGUUGGCCCCUGACCGGGGUUGCGGACAGUGUCUGGUGGGUAGUUUGACUGGGGCGGUCUCCUCCCAAAGCGUAACGGAGGAGCACGAAGGUUAGCUAAUCCUGGUCGGACAUCAGGAGGUUAGUGCAAUGGCAUAAGCUAGCUUGACUGCGAGCGUGACGGCGCGAGCAGGUGCGAAAGCAGGUCAUAGUGAUCCGGUGGUUCUGAAUGGAAGGGCCAUCGCUCAACGGAUAAAAGGUACUCCGGGGAUAACAGGCUGAUACCGCCCAAGAGUUCAUAUCGACGGCGGUGUUUGGCACCUCGAUGUCGGCUCAUCACAUCCUGGGGCUGAAGUAGGUCCCAAGGGUAUGGCUGUUCGCCAUUUAAAGUGGUACGCGAGCUGGGUUUAGAACGUCGUGAGACAGUUCGGUCCCUAUCUGCCGUGGGCGCUGGAGAAUUGAGGGGGGCUGCUCCUAGUACGAGAGGACCGGAGUGGACGCAUCACUGGUGUUCGGGUUGUCAUGCCAAUGGCACUGCCCGGUAGCUAAAUGCGGAAGAGAUAAGUGCUGAAAGCAUCUAAGCACGAAACUUGCCCCGAGAUGAGUUCUCCCUGAGACUUUAAGUCUCCUGAAGGAACGUUAAAGACGAUGACGUUGAUAGGCCGGGUGUGUAAGCGCAGCGAUGCGUUGAGCUAACCGGUACUAAUGAACCGUGAGGCUUAACCUU